CUGCCAGCCCUGCUGUGUCCGGGGCCACCCUCUGCCGCGAGGACUCCGCCAUCUGGGCGAGGCCCUCGAGGUCCCUGGGCAGGACAUGAGCCAUCAACCCUGGCCUGCUGAUCCCCGGCAUCACCCCUCCUGUGGACUGAGAAACUGAGGCCCAAGCAGGCCUGGGACUGGUCCAAGGCACCUAAGGAGACAGUGGCAGAGCCAGCCCUGGAAACCGCCUUUCCUGCCCAUGGCCGGUGAUGGCCUCUGCCAGUGAAGCAGAAUCCGGUUCUGGAGAGCAGGUAACAGAACAUUCCACCGUCCCCUGCCCUUCCAAGGGAGCUCUUUGUCAUCCUGCCUCUCUCCCCGCAAAGUCCCACAGAAAACCAGUAUAGGGGUCGGGGGGCUCCCCUAGGGCCACUGGGAAGAAGCAUAACUGACCUCACUUCCUCGUAUUUCUUGUCUCGGUAAAAGUUGCUCUUUUUGAUGAAGUAGAUGAGCACCAGGUCACAGAAGAAAGACCCCUGCACAAGAGUUAGGGUCCGACUCAGAAUCCUAGACUUGGAGAGAGCACCCAGCCACAUCCCAUUUGACCUCCUGCAACAAGCCCUGAGAGACGGAGAUGUUGGCUGAGAAAGCGGCACCUUUGUGGAGGUCACAAAGCUGGUCCAUGGUAGAGCCAGAGUGAGCCCAGUCCGUCUGAUCCCUCAGGCCAAGCACCCCUGCACGGCCCUGACCCCAUCGCACGCAGCCCGUUUGCUGAGCAUGCACCAGUGCCAGGCGCUGCCCUGGGGCGCAGGGGGCAGGGGUAGGACAAUGAGCCUCUCUGGGGACGCCCCUCUGGUCCGGGAGACAAGCACGUAAGUUAUGACAGAGGAACAUGCCCUGUGAUGGGGAGAGGAAUGGGGCGGGGGAGGGGACAGAGAAAACGGGACUUUCUGAGCCUGGGGAGGGACAUUUGGCUGAGUGUAGACUAAACAGGAUUUUAUAUAAGACCAAAGGAAGGCCUGGGAAUAGAGGCAGGAAACAGAAUUGUGGCAUUUGGGGACAGAGAGGUGGGUUGGAGGGUGAGUGAACACGGCCAGCACAGCAGUGUUCAGGGAACGAGGAAGAGGCCUGGCCUGAGGCGGUGGCCCCAUAGACACUUGACCUCUUCAGAGCAGAGUGGGUGGUGCAGAUACCGCUCUCCUCCACCAGAGGGCACUCCACCCACAGCAGAGAGCGGGGCCGGCUCGGAGGGGUUGAUGGACAGCCCCACAGGUGAACCCGGUCCUCUGACCCUGGGCAUUGCACACCUUUUUGUUCCCCGGAUGCCAAAAAUGUUAUCAAUUCUUCGUUCCACAGAGAACACACCUCCCAUCCGCACCCGCCCCCAGCCUCUACCACCCUGGUAGCCCAGUUACCUUCCAGGUGUGUCCCCCAGGUGCCCUGUGUCUGGUUUACCCACAUCACGAGAAAGUGAUGGCUGAAGGUGACCCCUCUCUAGGGAAGUUACAAAUACAAACAUGCAAGGCUCCCCCGACAUUGUCUGCAGUUGAGUCCUUUGGGGCCACUUUUCUCUACCAGCCACCUCUCAGGAGUGUGGCCUCUUUGGUCCUGUUACAGGACAGUUUUCUUGGUCUUAAUAAAAAGUCUGUCCUGGGU